CGAAAAGGAAAUUUCAUUACAAUAUGUUGGCCGCAACUAAAUUAUAAUAGAAAUUUAGAAAAUACGAUUUGUUUACACUAUGGGAUACAAAAUCGAUAUACAGCGUACAGCAUAGAUAACACUAACUGUACGAGCACGUAGCACGCGCACGAUUUGUCCGUCGUGUAGUUACAUAAAUAGACGGGGUGUGUUGGGGAAACGUCACUUAUUACUGGGUGUUGGCGGAUCGGGUUGUCUGUCGUCCAGGUGUUAUAUGCGAACACAGUAGAGAGAGGGAGGGAGGGAGAGAGACAGAGACACCGAGACACAGAGACACAGAGACACAGAGACAGCGGGCGAGGAGAGAGAGAGCGAGCAGAGAGCGGAGAGAGGGAGAGAGAGAAACAAUAUUAACCAAUAUUAACCAAUAUGUUAUUUGCUAAUGGGCGUCAAACAAAGCUAAAUGGUUGAUAAACAUCAAUAUAAUGAGACAAACCACCACCACCACCAUUAUUAUUAUUAUUAUUUGUGGUGUUUUUAAAAUAAAGACGCCCAGACU